rnacentral:rRNA from 1 species
UACGAAGGGGGCAAGCGUUGUUCGGAAUUACUGGGCGUAAAGGGUACGUAGGCGGUUUAAUUAGUCAGAUGUGAAAUCCCAGGGCUCAACCUUGGAACUGCAUUUGAUACUGUUAGACUUGAAUCCGAGAGGGGAUAGUGGAAUUUCUAGUGUAGAGGUGAUAUUCGUAGAUAUUAGAAGGAACAUCAGAGGCGAAGGCGACUAUCUGGAUCGGUAUUGACGCUGAGGUACGAAAGCGUGGGUAGCAAACGGG